UACGUAGGGUGCGAGCGUUAAUCGGAAUUACUGGGCGUAAAGCGUGCGCAGGCGGUUUUGUAAGCCAGAUGUGAAAUCCCCGGGCUUAACCUGGGAAUGGCAUUUGGGACUGCAAGGCUCGAGUGCGGCAGAGGAGACUGGAAUUCCUGGUGUAGCAGUGAAAUGCGUAGAUAUCAGGAGGAACACCGAUGGCGAAGGCAGGUCUCUGGGCUGACACUGACGCUGAGUGCGCGAAAGCCAGGGGAGCAAACGGG
rnacentral:rRNA from 1 species